UCAAGGAAAAGAACUAAGAGACGGAGAGGAUAAAAAGAAAAACUAAAAUUAAAGUCCUAAUCAAGAUACAAAGUACCAAAAGCCCUAAUCAAGAUAGUUGAGCCACGAACAAAGAUCCGAGAAAUUCCAACAGAUGGCAGUCAGUCUGUUGAUGCAUUUUCAUCUGUCGUGGGUCCUGAACAUCCGGGAUGUUUAAGAUUAUAUGGACGAGGAGUUACAAAGACUACUUUAAAAGGAAAAGUGGGCCAUUUCGAACCGACUUCAAAUGCUACAAAUGAUACAGUGCAAGAAAGGAUUCGAAAAAUGAAGGAACAAAAAAGAACUAUGCGACAAGAAAUUACUGCAGAUGUAAUUGCUCAACUUCAGCGUGCAGGAUUAAUUAAUCCAAACAUACUAGCAACAUUAUCUGUUUUGUCAUUAGGAGAAGCUACCUCUGCACCACAAGCUGCUAAUCAACUGAUCUGUCGACCAUCUACACGUAGCAACAAUCAAGGUUAGUAUCACUUUAUUCCCAGGCUAAAAUUCAUAUUUUAGAAACUGUAAAGCUGUGAUUUUUUGUUUGAAAAUCUACAGUAAAGCUAUUAUUUUUUAAAGUUAAAAACUGUUGAUUUUUGUGAUAAAAUUUGCUCUUUUUCUGCCUUUCUUCCUUUCAUGAAAACCUGCUGAUAUGAGGCAUUAUAGAAUCAUUAAUAUUUCUGUAGAUAAUGUUUAGUAUAAACUUUAUUAGUAUAUUUUAAUGAUAUCAUCUUGUGCGGCUGAGUUCAUAUUGCUAGAGGUUCAAGUUCAUAUUGAAACAUGGGGUUCUCUUGGAACUCCAAAUAAGGGAACCCUAAAACAUGUCAAAGGUUUAGUCGUGAUAAACUACCUAGAGCAACCACACUUCACUGCAAUGAGCUAUCUGGUCCUUCCAAAGUACUAGUUAAUCAUCAUAAUAAUAAAAAAGUCCACAAAGAAGUCCAGGAAUGGAAGUUGCUAUUAUUAAUAAAUUCCUUUAUCAAAAAUAAAGUACAAGAACGGAAUGCUAAUCACUGUUAGUGUGACUGAUAAAAGAACCUCUGUUAGUGUGACUGAUUAAAAAAUCCACUGAUGUAAGAUGUCAUUUCAAUUUUAUCUUGAUCCAAGGUGUACUUGUAAUUUAUUACAACAGAGAGAGUCAUGAGAAUGAAUUAUAGUUUUAUCAAUCAGCAAUCUACUAUGAAGAGAGUUGCGCAAAAAUGUUUCUGAGUAGAGUGAUACCGAGGUUACUCCAUUAUUUGCCUUUGUAGCAUAAUGAAGAAUUUUGUUUUCUUUUAUCUCAUAGAAAAUGAUUGCCUGCAAAGCUGUUGUAACUUCUGGUAUAGUAACCUCUAGUUUCUACUUUCUACAUUUGAAGAUUGGAUUACGUUUGGUCUUUAAGAAGGUCUUGACUUUAAUUAUUAAAUUGAAUCGGUCUUUAUGAAGGUCUUGACAUUUGGAGAUUGAAUACGUUUGGUCUUCAAUUAUCAUUCUCUAGUAUGUCAAAAAUAGGAUCUAUUGUUUCUGUUGGUGUUUCCAUUGCUUCACAUUUGAUAAAGACAAUUGAACUUUUUUUAGAAAGAA